rnacentral:lncRNA from 1 species
GCGUCAAAUCUAUUUCUAAAUCAUAAACACCUAUGCACUGCACCGUAACUAAAAAUACACCUGAACUUUAAUGACCCAGUCACUGAUAACAAUCAUGUGACAUAUGCAAUUUAUCUAAUAGCCCGAACUACUCGCGGUAACAGCCCGGUACAUCAGAGGGCCAUGUCAAGUGGGUGAUAAACAUGUCGGUUUCUUUAUAAUUUUAUCAUUUUUCUCUGAUCGAACUGCUAUCCUGGGGAUGCUAAUUUUGUAUCAAGCAGAGUGUUCACUCUCCUUCUAAUAUAACCUCCUUGGUUUAUCUGAGUGGACAGUAUCAAAGUAAUUCAGGUGUUUGUUUAUUUUUACAUCUUCUGCAGAAAGGAAAAUAAAUGCUCAUCAAAAACCAAGAAAGAUUUAUCUUUCUUUAACACAAAAUGCAUUUAACUUUUACAUAUCCAGUGGAUGAUAGGCCUUUAAACUUUCCAAACAGCACAGGUAAGUCUGUACACAGAGUAGUUUUUGAGGUGAAAAUACGGCCAUAUUUGUCCAUUUGUUAUG